AACGAACGCUGGCGGCAGGCUUAACACAUGCAAGUCGAGCGCCCCGCAAGGGGAGCGGCAGCCGGGUGAGUAACGCGUGGGAACGUACCUUUUGGUUCGGAACAACUCCGGGAAACUGGAGCUAAUACCGGAUAAGCCCUAACGGGGAAAGAUUUAUCGCCGAAAGAUCGGCCCGCGUCUGAUUAGCUAGUUGGUGAGGUAACGGCUCACCAAGGCGACGAUCAGUAGCUGGUCUGAGAGGAUGAUCAGCCACACUGGGACUGAGACACGGCCCAGACUCCUACGGGAGGCAGCAGUGGGGAAUAUUGGACAAUGGGCGCAAGCCUGAGCCAGCCAUGCCGCGUGAGUGAUGAAGGCCUUAGGGUUGUAAAGCUCUUUUGUCCGGGAAGAUAAUGACUGUACCGGAAGAAUAAGCCCCGGCUAACUUCGUG
rnacentral:rRNA from 1 species